CCUACGGGAGGCAGCAGUGGGGAAUAUUGGGCAAUGGAGGCAACUCUGACCCAGCAACGCCGCGUGAGCGCUGAAGGUCUUCGGAUUGUACAGCUCUUUAUGCGGGGCCGAAGAAAGUGACUGUCCCCGCAGAAUAAGCCUCGGCUCACUACGUGCCAGCAGCCGCGGUAAUCCGUAGGAGGCAAGCGUUAUCCGGACUGACUGGGCGUACGGGGUGCGUAGGUGGUUUGGCAAGUUGGUCGCGUAAGCCCGGGGCGCAACCUCGGUGCUACUACCAAACCUGUUGAACGUGAGGGCAGGAGGGUUGAAUGGAAUUCCCAGUGUAGCGGUGGAAGGCGUAGAUAUUGGGAAGAACACCAGCGGCGAAGGCGAUUCACUGGACUGUAACUGACACUGAGGCACGAAAGCGUGGGGAGCAAACAGGAUUAGAUACCCCAGGAGUC
rnacentral:rRNA from 1 species